AUCAUUGACAAGGUCGAUCGCCGUCUUGCUGGUUGGAGGGGCCUUUUGCUCUCCUUGGCCGGGAGGGCCAUCCUGGUCCGCUCCGUUCUACGCGCCCUGCCAAUCUAUGCCAUGAGUGUCCUUCUUCUACCUGCUGGAACCAUUCAGGAAAUCGAGAAACGCUGUAGGGCCUUCUUUUGGUCUGGUCAGGAAUCUACCUCGGGCGGCAACUGCAAGGUCGCUUGG
rnacentral:rRNA from 1 species